rnacentral:misc_RNA from 1 species
GGGUAAUACGCCAGCGGAUCACGUCGGAUUUUAUAUCUUCCUAUCCUCUUACCUCGGUGCUUCUCACUUCCUGUUUGGUCAAAAGGGUAAUUGUAAUUUCCUGACCUAACCGCUAAAACUUCUACAGGACGCUCAAAUUAUGAUGCAAAGAAAAAUGAAAAUACAAAGAAGGAAAAUUAAAAAUUCGCACGAAUUAAGAAUACAAGAGUCAAACCCGCUUCUCCUCUCCCUGUUUCUUUUAAGUUUAGAUGUCAAGCGAAUUGAACGUAUCGGUUGCUAAGCUCCCUUCUCUCCCCAAAUCAGCAUGCGAAACUACUGUCGGAGGUCGAGGACGUCCGGUCAAAAUUUCCAAUCGGCUGGUUUAACCUCGGCGACAAGAAAGCGCCGUGCUGUUAGUUGCGAGGCGAAAUGAAUGAACAAGCUCUCACUCUUAGCGUUUACUUGAAAGGUGGCGACACAAGCAGGUGCUGUGCCACAGCUGUCCCCUUUGUCUAGGACUUCGGACGCUAUAUGAC